GCAUGACCAAAAAAAGUAUUUUCAUAGUGUUCCAUGCAAGAACAAACUGUGAUCCUGAACCAUUACCUGGCCUCCACCUGUGGGUUACUGGCGCUGAAGGAGGUUGCACAGAG
rnacentral:snoRNA from 1 species